rnacentral:other from 1 species
AUUGCCCUACUGUGUUCGUGGUCAAGCUGGCUUUGUUAUGAGCCAACACCAUAACAAAGGGAGCUUGGCUCUACCGGUGGCGUGCAAGCCCCUCAGCGGGGACGCAUAAAGCCGGUGGGAGAGCACCCACCUGCAUAGAGCAGGUUCAUCAACGGCCAGUCAUCAGCGGCAUGGUGGGGAUACC